AACGAACGCUGGCGGCAUGCCUAACACAUGCAAGUCGAACGAGACCUUCGGGUUUAGUGGCGCACGGGUUCGUAACGCGUUGGAACCUGCCCUUAGGUUCUGAAUAACUCCCCGAAAUGGGUGCUAAUACCUGAUAAUGUCUUCGGACCAAAGAUUUAUCGCCUUUGGAUGGGCCCGCGUUGGAUUAGCUAGUUGGUAGGGUAAAAGCCUACCAAGGCGACGAUCCAUAGCUGGUCUGAGAGGAUGAACAGCCACACUGGGACUGAGACACGGCCCAGACUCCUACGGGAGGCAGCAGUGGGGAAUAUUGGAGCAUGGGCGAAAGCCUGAUCCAGCAAUGCCGCGUGAGUGAUGAAGGCCUUAGGGUUGUAAAGCUCUUUUAACCGGGAUGAUAAUGACAGUACCGGGAGAAUAAGCUCCGGCUAACUACGUG
rnacentral:rRNA from 1 species